UGGGGAAUCUUAGACAAUGGGGGAAACCCUGAUCUAGCCAUGCCGCGUGGGUGGUAAGGCCUUCGGGUUGUAAAGCCCUUUCACCGGGGAAGAUGAUGACAUUACCCGGAGAAGAAGCGCCGGCUAACUCCGUGCCAGCAGCCGCGGUAAGACGGCGGGCGCUAGCGAUGUUCGGAAUCACUGGGCGUAAAGGGCGCGUAGGUGGCUGUUUAAGUCGAGGGUGAAAGCCCGGGGCUCAACCCCGGAACGGCCUUCCAGACUGGGCAGCUCGAGACCGGAAGAGGAGGGUGGAAUACCCAGUGUAGAGGUGAAAUUCGUAGAUAUUGGGUGGAACACCAGUGGCGAAAGCGGCUCUCUGGUCCGGAUCUGACGCUGAGGCGCGAAAGCGUGGGGAGCAAACAGGAUUAGAUACCCCGGUAGUCC
rnacentral:rRNA from 1 species